GAAAUGUAUAUAAAAAAAACUAUUACUGUGAACUUAGAGACGGAGAUACGCUUCGUGCCGUUGUACACCGAUACAAAGGAUCCAAACGAGCAAAGUUUGCCCAUCAUGCAGGUUAUAACUGCACUUAGUGCGAGCGCUUUAAUUAGCCUGGUGGUCGUUGUUUGUGCCCACGGGGAUCACGGGGAUCAUGUAUCGUUGACAUAUGGACAUCAUAAUAUCGACAAACGAGACGCACGCAAGAUAGGUACCAUUGAAAAGCAAGACUUGGCAACAUUGAGCCGAAACAAGCGCGAACAGCACGUUGAGGAUCAACAGCUUGAGGUUGAGAAGAACAAACGAAAUGUCGACAGAGCCAGUCGGCUUCCCCUAAGUGUGGACAAACGACAUGAUCGCCACUCCCACGGUGAAGGGCACCGUUUUAGUGGGUGCGAUCACAAUAACUGCUGGGUUUACUGCAUGAGGCGCCAAGAUGAUCGUAUUGGGGGGCACUGCCAGAGCGGACGAUGUGUCUGCUUCAAGCCGUAGACCACAGGCGUCUCCUUGAGAAGACAUGAAAGCAUACUUUCAAAAUGAUCGUCGCAAUUUAAUGGAAUUAAUGUUAAAAUAAAACAUUUACAUCGCUUAUUCAUUGCAAACAGUGUUCACGAAUCUAAUUACAAAUCCAAUCCAGCUUCUACAGUGUAUAUGUACAAAAGUUUUUUUUUUAUCUUCAAGAUUCAAAAUCCCCUGAAAUUUUAUACUUUUACUUAAAGUCCUUCUUCUUUUUCCACCUAUAUUUAAUGAAUGACUUACAAAAUGCUUAAAGAUUAAACUUAGCAAUCAUAAUAUUGCAUUCACUAUAUUAUGUUAAUAAAUUGUGUCCUUUGCGUGGGUAAUCAUGACCUGUCAACAAAAUAACAACGUUGAAGGCAGUAUAUUUGAUAUGUCAGGAUAAAGUGUACAUCUUAUAUUUAUAGAAUCGGUGGAAAGAAAAUAAAUUUAUA